rnacentral:rRNA from 1 species
UACGGGGGGGGCAAGCGUUGUUCGGAAUUACUGGGCGUAAAGGGCGCGUAGGCGGUUUGCUAAGUUGAAUGUGAAAACUCUGGGCUUAACCCAGAGCCUGCAUUCAAUACUGGCAGGCUAGAGUUCUGGAGGGGAUAGCGGAAUUCCUGGUGUAGCGGUGAAAUGCGUAGAUAUUGGGAGGAACACCAGUGGCGAAGGCGGCUCACUGGACCGGAACUGACGCUGAGGCGCGAAAGCGUGGGGAGCAAACAGG